GUCAAUUUUUUUUGAGAGUUUUUCCUUGUACUAUUAUGUUUUUCAAAGCGAAUAUUUUCCUUUUUCUGCUUCGCAAAACUCAUGUAGUUUUUGGACCGCCAUCUUGUUUUUCGCUACUCGCCAUAUAUGAGCUGAUAUACGGCGAGUAAUUCAACCAAUCAGAUUGCAGAACAGCUCAUAUACGGUGGAUGACUAUAUUAUAAAUAUAUAUAUAUAUAUAUAUAUA